CUGACUGACGGGCUGCCCUCCAAGCCCACCCACGGCUCCUCUCUGCGCACGCGCGAGAUCCCCUCUGGCUGCUCCGCUCGCUCUCCCUCCUGCGCAUGCGCUCCCCUGCCUCACAGAGGGGUCGAGGGGCGCUUGGGUUAGCCAGUGAGAAGGCAGCCGUUGGCCUUAACUGCUCGCCUCAGAAAGGCGGUUGUCGAGUUUUACUAGCGGCUUAUUUUUUUAAAAUUCCUCCCUCAGGAGAGGGAGAGAAAAAAGAAAAAUAAUUGGAUAAGAGAAGCAGAAAGGUGUGGCAAGCAUUUGCAAAUGAACAGACUCAGGUGCUCUGGGGAAAUAUUUGGCUCCAUUCAAAAUGAUGCCACUCAUGUCAAGGUCAGGCAAUGAGAGUGAAGGACACAUGCACUUCCUGGUAAGCAUGGAGAAGAUUGAUCAACAGACCUUCUCUGUUGUCUGCACCUAUCUUGAGAUCGGCUGUGGACAGCCUGAAAAUACGUGGUCUAAAUCAGAAAUGAGUGUUAUUUAAAAAAUAUACUCUCUGAUUCAAACUCACUUUGAACUUCAAAUCCACACUCACUUAAGUCAACUCAAGAUUUCUAACCUGGAUGAAGCUUGUUCUACGUUUAUAUUAACAAUGCAAUCUGAAUUUGAAGAUGGAAAAAUUAACUGGGGUGGAUGAUUACGAUCCUCGGCUUUGGCUGCAGCCAGGCGAAGAUGCUUCAGAAAGACUACAGACAUUUAACAAGCAAGGAUCUAGACUCUCUUGCAACCUGUAUCACAACCUAUAUAAUCAGUCAACAUGGAGAGUGGCUUCUUCAAAACGGCAGUUGGAUAUGUAACACUAAGUAUUUUUACCCUUAUCUAAAGUAAAAACAGCAUUACUGCUUUCUAAACAGACCAUUUUUACAGCUAUGGACCUCUUCUGCAAAGACAUAAGCACUACUUUCUCUCUCUGUUACAUGAA